rnacentral:lncRNA from 1 species
GUGUUAAAGGGGGAGCUUUAGCCCCGGUUCCCCGGACUGGGACUAAAGGGUGGGCCUUUAGUCCCAGAAGGGCAGCACCGGCUCGGGAACCGGGGCAAGAGGCCCUUCCCGACCGGUGCUAAUGCCCCAAGAUGCAGCAAACUUUACUAAUUGUAUAGUAUAUAUGUGGUAUAGUAUAUAUGUGCACACAAUUUGACUCAUGGUAAGCAAACUUUAUAUUUUUUUUAUUUUUUUAUUAAAAUCGUUGGCUGAUUAGUAGAAUGUACCGUUGACUGAUUUGUUGUGAGAGAAAAAUACUGCUCAAUGGCUAAUAGAUUCGGCUAAUAAGCUUAAGCAAACAAGGCUUGAGCUUAUCAGCCGAAUCUGCCAGUUAAGUCAGCCAUUCAGCCAUUCAACGGUACUUUCAACUAUAGCUAAUAUACAGUUAAGUCAGACCAAUUAUGAUGGGUACUUUUCUGCAACAAAGCUUUCAAUAGAAAGGAACAUUUUCAGAAUUUUGUUCCUUGCUAUCAUGUAAAAUAUCUUUUAUUUGUCGAACAUAACCAUCGGCCUAUGUGGGUAGACUAGAACUUGAUUAGUCCUAGCUAAAAAUUAGUCAACUAAAGUUUCGAUAGCUAAAAUUGAGAGGUGUUAGGAUCCUAGGUUGUUAUAUGCAAUGUUUGGAUCUAGAAUGUCCUUCUAUUUUCUCUCUCCUCACCCAUCUCUUCUUUUAGUCCUUACCCAUCUCCAUCUCUCUCUCUCUCCCUCUCUCACCAUCCUUGGCCAUGCUGUCGUUGACGUUCCCUUACCGAGGCAAGGUCAUAAGAUGAGGUUAGCUAUGGUGAAAGCGGGCUAUGGUAGGGAUGAGAGCAUGGGACCUAAACGGGC